ACGGGGGGUGCAAGCGUUGUUCGGAAUCAUUGGGCGUAAAGAGCGUGUAGGCGGCUAGGCAAGUCAGAUGUGAAAUCCCUGGGCUUAACCCAGGACGUGCAUUUGAAACUGCUUAGCUUGAGUAAGGGAGAGGGAGGUGGAAUUCCUGGUGUAGGGGUGAAAUUCGUAGAUAUCAGGAGGAACACCAGUGGCGAAGGCGGCUUCCUGGCCGGAUACUGACGCUGAGGUGCGAAAGCGUGGGGAUCAAACAG
rnacentral:rRNA from 1 species